rnacentral:lncRNA from 12 species
GGAGCGGGGACCCCGUCCUGAGGUCUCGGUCCCCCGGGGAUCGUGCAGGGAGCGGGGACCCUGUCCUGACGGUCUGGGUCCCCCGGGGAGAGUCCAGGGAGCGGGGACCCCGUCCUGAGGGUCAUGAUGCCCCGGGGGAGUCCAGGGAGCGGGGACCCCGUCUGAGGUCUCGGUCCCCGGGGAGAGUCCAGGGAGCGGGGACCCCGUCCUGAGGGUCAUGGUCCCCCGGGGAGAGUCCAGGGAGCGGGGACCCCGUCCUGAGGGUCUCGGUCCCCGGGGAGAGUCCAGGGAGCGGGGACCCCGUCCUGAGGGUCUCGGUCCCCCAGGGAGAGUCCAGGGAGCGGGGACCCCGUCCUGAGGGUCAUGGUCCCCCGGGGAGAGUCCAGGGAGCGGGGACCCAUCCUGAGGGUCUCGGUCCCCCGGGGAGAGUCCAGGGAGCGGGGACCCGGUCCUGAGGGUCUCGGUCCCCCGGGGAGAGUCCAGGGACGGGCACCCGGUCCUGAGGGUCUCGGUCCCCCGGGGAGAGUCCAGGGAGCGGGGAGUCCGUCCUGAAGGUCAAGGUCCCCCGGGGGAGUCCAGGGAGCGGGGACCCCGUCCGAGGUCUCGGUCCCCCGGGGAUCGUGCAGGGAGCGGGGACCCCGUCCUGAGGGUCUGGGUUCCCCGGGGAGAGUCCAGGGAGCGGGGACCCCGUCCUGAGGGUCAUGGUCCCCCGGGGGAGUCCAGGGAGCGGGGACCCCGUCCUGAGUGUCUCGGUCCCCGGGCAGAGCCCAGGGAGCGGGGACCCCGUCCUGAGGGUCUCGGUCCCCCGGGGAUCGUGCAGGGAGCGGGGACCCCGUCCUGAGGGUCUCGGUCCCCGGGGAGAGUCCAGGGAGCGGGGACCCCGUCCUGAGGGUCUCGGUCCCCCGGGGAGAGUCCAGGGAGCGGGGACCCCGUCCUGAGGGUCAUGGUCCCCCGGGGGAGUCCAGGGAGCGGGGACCCCGUCUGAGGUCUCGGUCCCCUGGGGAUCGUGCAGGGAGCGGGGACCCCGUCCUGAGGGUCUCGGUCCCCCGGGGAGAGUCCAGGGAGCGGGGACCCCGUCUGAGGUCUCGGUCCCCGGGGAGAGUCCAGGGAGCGGGGACCCCGUCCUGAGGUCUCGGUCCCCUGGGGAGAGUCCAGGGAGUGGGGACCCCGUCCUGAGGGUCUCGGUCCCCCGGGGAGAGUCCAGGGAGCGGGGACCCCGUCCGGAGGGUCUCGGUCCCCUGGGGAUCGUGCAGGGAGCGGGGACCCCGUCCUGAGGGUCUCGGUCCCCCGGGGAGAGUCCAGGGAGCGGGGACCCCGUCCUGAGGGUCAUGGUCCCCCGGGGAGAGUCCAGGGAGCGGGGACCCAGUCCUGAGGUCUCGGUCCCCCGGGGAGAGUCCAGGGAGUGGGGACCCCGUCCUGAGGGUCUCGGUCCCCCGGGAGAGUCCAGGGAGCGGGGACCAGUCCUGAGGUCUCGGUCCCCGGGGAGAGUCAGGGAGCGGGGACCCCGUCCUGAGGGUCUCGGU